rnacentral:tRNA from 1 species
UCUCUGUUCGUAUAGUGGUUAGUAUGUGAGCUUGUCAUCUCAGACAUCGCUCGAGACCGGGGUUCAAUUCCCCGACAGAGAG